rnacentral:rRNA from 1 species
AUUGAACGCUGGCGGCAUGCCUUACACAUGCAAGUCGAACGGCAGCGGACCUUCGGGUGCCGGCGAGUGGCGAACGGGUGAGUAAAGUAUCGGAACGUACCUUUCAGUGGGGGAUAACGUAGCGAAAGUUACGCUAAUACCGCAUAUUCUGUGAGCAGGAAAGCAGGGGAUCGCAAGACCUUGCGCUGAUUGAGCGGCCGAUAUCAGAUUAGCUAGUUGGUGAGGUAAAGGCUCACCAAGGCGACGAUCUGUAGCGGGUCUGAGAGGAUGAUCCGCCACACUGGAACUGAGACACGGUCCAGACUCCUACGGGAGGCAGCAGUGGGGAAUUUUGGACAAUGGGGGCAACCCUGAUCCAGCCAUGCCGCGUGAGUGAAGAAGGCCUUCGGGUUGUAAAGCUCUUUCGUCCGGGAAGAAAUCGCAUCAGCUAAUACCUGGUGUGGAUGACGGUACCGGAAUAAGAAGCACCGGCUAACUACGUGCCAGCCGCCGCCGUAAGAC